AUUGAACGCUGGCGGCAUGCCUUACACAUGCAAGUCGAACGGCAGCACGGGUGCUUGCACCUGGUGGCGAGUGGCGAACGGGUGAGUAAUACAUCGGCAUAUGUCCUGUAGUGGGGGAUAGCCCGGCGAAAGCCGGAUUAAUACCGCAUACGAUCAACGGAUAAAAGCGGGGGACCUUCGGGCCUCGCGCUAUAGGGUUGGCCGAUGGCUGAUUAGCUAGUUGGUGUGGUAAAGGCCUACCAAGGCGACGAUCAGUAGCUGGUCUGAGAGGACGACCAGCCACACUGGGACUGAGACACGGCCCAGACUCCUACGGGAGGCAGCAGUGGGGAAUUUUGGACAAUGGGCGAAAGCCUGAUCCAGCAAUGCCGCGUGUGUGAAGAAGGCCUUCGGGUUGUAAAGCACUUUUGUCCGGAAAGAAAUGCUUGGCCCUAAUACGGUCGGGGGAUGACGGUACCGGAAGAAUAAGCACCGGCUAACUACGUG
rnacentral:rRNA from 1 species